ACUUAAAUUGAAGAGUUUGAUCAUGGCUCAGAUUGAACGCUGGCGGCAGGCCUAACACAUGCAAGUCGAGCGGUAGCACAGAGAGCUUGCUCUCGGGUGACGAGCGGCGGACGGGUGAGUAAUGUCUGGGAAACUGCCUGAUGGAGGGGGAUAACUACUGGAAACGGUAGCUAAUACCGCAUAACGUCGCAAGACCAAAGUGGGGGACCUUCGGGCCUCAUGCCAUCAGAUGUGCCCAGAUGGGAUUAGCUAGUAGGUGGGGUAAUGGCUCACCUAGGCGACGAUCCCUAGCUGGUCUGAGAGGAUGACCAGCCACACUGGAACUGAGACACGGUCCAGACUCCUACGGGAGGCAGCAGUGGGGAAUAUUGCACAAUGGGCGCAAGCCUGAUGCAGCCAUGCCGCGUGUAUGAAGAAGGCCUUCGGGUUGUAAAGUACUUUCAGCGAGGAGGAAGGCGUUAAGGUUAAUAACCUUAGCGAUUGACGUUACUCGCAGAAGAAGCACCGGCUAACUCCGUGCCAGCAGCCGCGGUAAUACGGAGGGUGCAAGCGUUAAUCGGAAUUACUGGGCGUAAAGCGCACGCAGGCGGUUUGUUAAGUCAGAUGUGAAAUCCCCGGGCUCAACCUGGGAACUGCAUUUGAAACUGGCAAGCUUGAGUCUUGUAGAGGGGGGUAGAAUUCCAGGUGUAGCGGUGAAAUGCGUAGAGAUCUGGAGGAAUACCGGUGGCGAAGGCGGCCCCCUGGACAAAGACUGACGCUCAGGUGCGAAAGCGUGGGGAGCAAACAGGAUUAGAUACCCUGGUAGUCCACGCUGUAAACGAUGUCGACUUGGAGGUUGUUCCCUUGAGGAGUGGCUUCCGGAGCUAACGCGUUAAGUCGACCGCCUGGGGAGUACGGCCGCAAGGUUAAAACUCAAAUGAAUUGACGGGGGCCCGCACAAGCGGUGGAGCAUGUGGUUUAAUUCGAUGCAACGCGAAGAACCUUACCUACUCUUGACAUCCAGAGAACUUAGCAGAGAUGCUUUGGUGCCUUCGGGAACUCUGAGACAGGUGCUGCAUGGCUGUCGUCAGCUCGUGUUGUGAAAUGUUGGGUUAAGUCCCGCAACGAGCGCAACCCUUAUCCUUUGUUGCCAGCGGUCCGGCCGGGAACUCAAAGGAGACUGCCAGUGAUAAACUGGAGGAAGGUGGGGAUGACGUCAAGUCAUCAUGGCCCUUACGAGUAGGGCUACACACGUGCUACAAUGGCAUAUACAAAGAGAAGCGACCUCGCGAGAGCAAGCGGACCUCAUAAAGUAUGUCGUAGUCCGGAUUGGAGUCUGCAACUCGACUCCAUGAAGUCGGAAUCGCUAGUAAUCGUAGAUCAGAAUGCUACGGUGAAUACGUUCCCGGGCCUUGUACACACCGCCCGUCACACCAUGGGAGUGGGUUGCAAAAGAAGUAGGUAGCUUAACCUUCGGGAGGGCGCUUACCACUUUGUGAUUCAUGACUGGGGUGAAGUCGUAACAAGGUAACCGUAGGGGAACCUGCGGUUGGAUCACCUCCUUACCUGAAAGAA
rnacentral:rRNA from 1 species